GGGAGGGGGUUGAAUAAAUAAUAAACAGCACGUCGGCCCCCGCGCGGCGCAAAACGCCUAUAAGUACAUCUUUUUAUUGCCCUUGUCUGCCAUUCAGAUUUGGGACAUAAUCACAUCAGCCUGCCUUUCUGAGAAUUCGUAGCUGUGUUUUUAAUCUAAUUCCGGGGACUGGAGAUAAAUCAUCGUGAAGGGUCCCGAUUUUCCGAGCCAAGAGCUUGCAGCGGCAGGAACAGCGAUGGCAUGCUAAGGGAACGGCUCUCCAGCAGCUUGCCAAGAAACAAGAGCUACCAUGCCGCUCUCCCGGCCUGCAGGAGCCCUGAGUGCAACGAGACCGCCUUUUCCUUCACCUGGCCUGGUGGAAAAGUGACAACCUAUCUUACAUUCUGACACUGCACCCUCCGCCCACCGUGCCCCAAGAUGUACAAGCCCCUGAUGAACUAAAGGGUGGCCAGAGCCUGAGCAAAGAGCCGCCCGCAAGAAGAAGAGAUGCCA